rnacentral:lncRNA from 13 species
AGUUUUUUGUUUUUUGUUUUAUUUUAGAUGGACUUUCAUUCUUGUCACUCAGGCUGGAGUGCAAUGACACGAUCUCAGCUCACCGCAACCUCCACCUCCCAGGUUCGAGAGAUUCUCCUGCCUCAGCCUCCCAAGUAGCUGGGAUUAUAGGAGAUGAUACUUGGGACCCAAGCAAGCCUAGUCUCAGGAGCCACCUCAUGGGAAACUGCAAAAGGCUCUGCAAAGAUGACAGGUGUUCUGCCCAGAGGUCUGCAUCAUAGUUCGUUCUUGAAACUUCCUUUUAUAUUUGCCUUAACUCUUUCAGUGGAGCUGGGUUUCCACACAGGGAGUAUCCUGUGGUGGUUAAAUGCAGGCUAUCAAGACCUUUAGGAGAAAGAAACUUCUUUACCAGUAAUGGCAUGGCAUGAAGAAACACGUGUUUUACUUGCUUAUAUGCUCCCAAGGUGACACAACUGGGCCAAGACCUUAUGAAUUUCAGUGCACUUAUGAGUUUGGUGUGGGCCUUCGGAAACCAUUGGACAAGGCCCCAAGUUUUGAUUUUUGCCCUCCCAAGUUGAGUCAGAUUGGAGGUCACCAUCUGAAGCACAGCAGGAAGGGUCAGGAUGGAUGAGCUGACUGGCAGCUUCUGCACAGCUUUUCUGGAACACUUGAUUGCCUGAGGAAUUACAUGCCGAGUAAUUGACUGGGACAAUUAGGCAGACUCUGAAAGUCAAGCUUGGAAGGCACAUGCCGGAGUGCACCCACAAAUGGGUAAGCUCCAUUGUAGC